AUGUGGCCUGCACCAGUGCUUCUGCUCGUCCAGUCGGCUCUGCUGAUUCAAGGAUCUUCCGCCCAGGAUUUGUUGACUCAGACGGACAAAAUCAAGUAUGUCAGUCUUGGUGGGACGGUGACCAUCAGCGCCAAAGGGAGUUCAAAUAUUGGUGCUGAUCUCAGUUGGUACCAAGUGAAACCUGGACAGGUUCCUAAACUUCUGAUCUAUGCUGCAUCAAGUCACUUUACUGGAACACCACCUCGAUUCAGUGGCACACAAUCUGGCUCUGACUACACUCUGACUAUCAGUGGUGUUCAGGCAGAAGAUGUCGCUGAUUACUACUGUUUUGCCUAUUUUGGACCUGGAAGGGAAGUGAAAGUGGAAGAUGAUGAUGACUGGUCCACUGAACAAAGAUCACCAAUUAGAACCAGCGUCAAUCUGAACAAGUUGAUUGACUUGUAA